UACGUAGGGGGCAAGCGUUGUCCGGAAUCAUUGGGCGUAAAGCGCGUGUAGGCGGCUCGAUAAGUCUGCUGUGAAAGUCCAAGGCUCAACCUUGGGAUGCCGGUGGAUACUGUCGAGCUCGAGUCCGGAAGAGGAGUGUGGAAUUCCUGGUGUAGCGGUGAAAUGCGCAGAUAUCAGGAGGAACACCGGUGGUGUAGACGGCUUUCUGGACCGUAACUGACGCUGAGACACGAAAGCAUGGGUAGCAAACAGG
rnacentral:rRNA from 1 species